UACGUAGGGUGCGAGCGUUAAUCGGAAUUACUGGGCGUAAAGCGUGCGCAGGCGGCUUGCUAAGACAGGUGUGAAAGCCCCGAGCUUAACUUGGGAAUGGCGCUUGUGACUGGCAGGCUGGAGUGUGGCAGAGGGAGGUGGAAUUCCACGUGUAGCAGUGAAAAUGCGUAGAGAUGUGGAGGAACACCGAUGGCGAAGGCAGCCUCCUGGGCCAACACUGACGCUUAUGCACGAAAGCGUGGGGAGCAAACAGG
rnacentral:rRNA from 1 species